AACGGCCGCGGUAUUUUGACCGUGCAAAGGUAGCGCAAUCAAUUGUCUUUUAAAUGAAGGCCUGUAUGAAUGGCACAACGAAGGCUUAGCUGUCUCCUUUUUCCAGUCAAUGAAAUUGAUCUUCCCGUGCAGAAGCGGGAAUGUUAACAUAAGACGAGAAGACCCUAUGGAGCUUAUAAACGCAAGAGUAGUCCACGUCAAUCACUCUAACUUACUAGACUUAAACUAACUGAAGACCCUACUCUCAUGUUUUUGGUUGGGGCGACCAUGGAGUAAAACUAAACCUCCACGCAGAACGAAAAUAUAUUAUUUUCCAAUUUAAGGGAAACACCCCUAAAAAUCAGAACAUCUGACUUUUAUUGAUCCGGCAAGGCCGAUCUACGAACCGAGUUACCCUAGGGAUAACAGCGCAAUCCUCUUUUAGAGUCCUAAUCGACAAGGGGGUUUACGACCUCGAUGUUGGACCAGGACAUCCUAAU
rnacentral:rRNA from 1 species